AGCAGUUUUACUUCCAACCGAAAAAUAUUCAUCUUACAGAAAAAUAUUUGUUCCACUAAAACUUUGUUCUCCACAAUAUUUAUAACUUCAAUUAACAAUCAAAAUUACACCUUGUUUUCAUAACUAUACAACUUUCAAACAUGUAAACUUACAAUAACAUAACAGAAUAUCAAUUUAAGGCAUGAAUAAUAAAGUCACAUGGAUUAAAAUGUAUAAAAAAUAAAAAUUUAAGACACUGAAAAGCAAAUCAAGAUUGCAUUUGAUUUUAUCUAGUGCAUUAUCCAAAUAUUUUAUAUGAACAAGAUCUUUCCAAUAUUUUAAAAAUCUGGUUUUAAACCUUUAAAUUAUAUAAAUAAACUGACAUAUCACAAUUAAAAAUAAAUUAAUAAAAUGCUGAAUUAAACAAGAUAUUCAA
rnacentral:lncRNA from 1 species